GGGGAGAGACGACGGAGACACCGGACAGUGAGGGUGUCAGGAGAGUGUGUGCCUCUGCCUGGGCCGCAGACCAAAGCAGCCGCAGCGGGCGAGGACAAUCUUUUAGAUAGCCAGCAAUAAACUGCCUUGAGACCGAACCACAAGAGGCUGUGGAGUUUUUCUUUGGAAGCACGGGUUGGAGGAGAGACUUUACCACCACACGAGAGCCCCGAAUCAAUCCCGGGGUUCUCACACCUGGCGUCCCUGGGAGGGCAUCAACAAGAAGAAACAUCAAAACAGCCUCCAACCCUCAGCGGCAGAAAAGAAAACAAAAAAAGGAAAACAGCAGAGUGCACAAACUCUCCACAAGUUCCAAGAAGAGAGGGAAUGAGAAGCUCAAGAUAAGAACCUGACCUUCACCAAGACAACUCGUCUCGGGGACUUUCCAGGGAGGAGACGACCCAGAAGCGCACCUGGGAUCUCUCACCUGUGACCUGCUGGACGGUGAACAGUGCCAUCUCCGGACCGACCUCGGGCUGACUCAGAUUUUGGGUUUCGCUUGUGUUUCCACAGAGCGAGGACCGAAGUGGGUGUCGGCGAGGCACGUGAAACCUUAUCGGGUGCAGACGCAAGUGGACGUGGACCCGAGGAGCAGAGAAGCAAGCACGCAGACGAAGGCAGACGACGACGCAGACGUCACAUCAGACAACGACUGAUCACCCAGAGACUUGGGGGGUUUCUUUUCCUGGGAAAUCAAGUGUUGUUUGGGUGUUGCUGCAUUGCAGGGUUUCUCACAGAGGGUGGGGACAUGGACAUGGGAUUCAGACAGAUAGUGUUCAUGUGCUUCAUUCUCUUGCCUAUUGCCUUGGGCAAUUGGACAGACUUUCCCGUGAAACAACCAAGGGAAAAUGUGUGGGAAACUUUGGCAAAGGCAGCGGGUCUAGACAGCAUUUGUCUGACUCAUUCAAAGCCAGGAAAACCAUUUUCAACAUGUUUAGUAGGUGUGCCAGUGAAGGAAUGGCCAAUUCCAAAAAGCAUCCCUCCAGAGAUUCUGAAAACUUUUUCGGAUCCUGUGGAGGGAUGGCAAGUUUGGACACAGUACCUUCCUGUGGCUCACUUGGAACCUCCAGAAUUGGACAUUUUUGGAUCAACAAAAAUGAAAUGGUGCAUUGAAUUUAAUUCAUCAGGAGUGGCAAAGACAGAUAAUCAUACAAUAGAUGUCACUCCCAAUCAGCCUUUUUAUAAAAAUGCAUCAUCUUGGUGCAAUCACACAAAAAUAACAAGCAAACCAUCCCUUCAACACCCAGCCACUUUACCGAAGGGAAUGUUUUUCAUUUGCGGGGACAGAAUUUGGCCUGCUAUCCCUGCAAAAAUCAAGGGCGGUCCAUGCAGCAUCGGGGAACUCUCAUUGUUAACACCUGAUUUGAAAACUUUACAAAAGCAGACACACAGGGAAAAAAGAUCCCUUGAACAAUAUAGUCCAAAUUGUGAUGAUGAUGUUUCUACCUGGAACAAGGCUCAGAGAAUUGCAAUAGCAAUUUUCUCACCCCAAACAGCAUCAGAACAUUGACACAAUUGGAUCAUAUAGCAUGUUGGUUGAGUAAACACAGUCGUGCCAUUUCGUUUGCACUGAGUGACAUGUUAACAGACAUCAACAGUGCAAGGCAAGCAGUGCUUCAAAACAGGGCGGCAAUUGAUUAUUUGCUGCUGACACAUGGGCACGGAUGUGAGGAAUUUGAGGGGAUGUGCUGCAUGAACUUGUCCGAUCAUUCAAAAUCUAUUCAUGAAAAUAUAAAACAAAUACAGAAUAGUAUUAGCAAAUUGAACAGAGUUACAGGGUCCUGGUGGGAUAAUUUGUUUAACUUUUUUGAUAUCUCACCAUUGUGGAAAGAACUUUCGAAAAUAGCAUUUUAUAUUCUUAUAGGGCUUGUAGUUCUUCUGCUUGUUCUACCAUGCAUUUUCGUGUGUAUUCGAAAGACCUUGAACAGCAUGGUAAAGCAGGUGUUUCUGGUUCAAACAGAGAGGGGAGAUGUCGGAACCCAAAAUGUCCCUCAGACAUUUUUAGAGGUUCCAGGCCUUGGUCAGAAGCAUUUUAGACCCUGGCAAGCAGCUGAAAACAGCUGUGAUUUUGAGUUUGAACCAUGGAAUGAAUUACCAACUUUGAGGGUGGAACAAGCAGUCACAGAAUGUUAGAUGGUAUAGUAAAAGUAGUCACAAAUUAGAGGGUAAAAUUUUUUAGUGUUGUACAGGGGGGUUUUAGUACCUGUACAGGGGGGUUUUCACUUUGUACAGGGGGGUCAGGAGUUCUAAGAUGGAGGAAAGUGGUCCUUAUCUUAUUCUUCCUCCUUCUUCUUCCUUACCUCCAUGUUCUUGGUGAUGUUGGCAUUCACAGAUUGGUUUAGAGUAGAAAAGCACAUUGUAACAUAGAUAGUAGGUAUUGGGGAAAAUCUAUAAACAUAUAGUACGUAAUAUAUCAUAUAAAAGAUAGUAGCAGCUUUGGGCGGGGAGAGAGACGACGAAGACACCGGACAGUGAGGGUGUCAGGAGAGUGUGUACCUCUGCCUGGGCCGCAGACCAAAGCAGCCGCAGCGGGCGAGGACAAUCUUUUAGAUAGCUAGCAAUAAACUGCCUUGAGACCGAACAA
rnacentral:lncRNA from 1 species